UCUGCCCCUAGCGGCACUGAAGGUGUGACUGCGGUGUCACAUGUCUAUCAAGAGGCAGCAGAGAGGAGAGAGGCAAUGCCUAUGUUCAGUGUUCUGACCUAUGUACAGCUGAAUGAUUAGUAGCCUAACAUU